rnacentral:rRNA from 1 species
UACGAAGGGGGGCUAGCGUUGCUCGGAAUGACUGGGCGUAAAGGGCGCGUAGGCGGUUCGUACAGUCAGACGUGAAAUUCCCGGGCUCAACCUGGGAACUGCAUUUGAGACUGGAGGACUUGAGGACGGGAGAGGAGAGUGGAAUUCCCAGUGUAGAGGUGAAAUUCGUAGAUAUUGGGAAGAACACCGAUGGCGAAGGCAGCUCUCUGGACCGUUACUGACGCUGAGGCGCGAAAGCGUGGGGAGCAAACAGGG